rnacentral:rRNA from 1 species
CCUACGGGAGGCAGCAGUGGGGAAUUUUGCGCAAUGGGGGAAACCCUGACGCAGCAACGCCGCGUGGAGGAUGAAGUAUCUUGGUACGUAAACUCCUUUCGAUGGGGAAGAUAAUGACGGUACCCAUAGAAGAAGCCCCGGCUAACUUCGUGCCAGCAGCCGCGGUAAUACGAGGGGGGCAAGCGUUGUUCGGAAUUAUUGGGCGUAAAGGGUGCGUAGGCGGUUCAGCAAGUCUCGUGUGAAAUCUUCGGGCUCAACCCGAAGUCUGCACGGGAAACUACUGGGCUUGAGUAAUGGAGAGGUGAGUGGAAUUUCCGGUGUAGCGGUGAAAUGCGUAGAUAUCGGAAGGAACACCUGCGGCGAAAGCGGCUCACUGGACAUUUACUGACGCUGAUGCACGAAAGCUAGGGGAGCAAACAGGAUUAGAUACCCUGGUAGUCCUAGCCCUAAACGAUGAUUGCUUGGUGUGGCAGGUACCCAAUCCUGCCGUGCCGAAGCUAACGCGAUAAGCAAUCCGCCUGGGGAGUACGGUCGCAAGGCUGAAACUUAAGGAAUUGACGG